GACGAACGAUGGCGGCGUGCUUAACACAUGCAAGUCGAGCGGAGCGGCGAACGGGUGAGUAACUCGUGAGUAACUGCCCACCUCUCUGGGAUAAAAGUUGGAAACGGAUGCUAAUACCGGAAAGAGGGGGAUGACUCGCGUCCUAUCAGCUUGUUGGAGGGGUAGUGGCCUACCAAGGCGAAGAAGAGUAGACGGCCGUAGAGGGCGACAGGCCACAUUGGGCUGAGUGGCGGCCCCAACUCCGACGAGAGGCAGCAGUGGCGGAUAUUGCACAAUGGGCGGAAGCGUGAUGCAGCGACGCCGCGUGGGGGGAGACGGUGUUCGGGUUGUAAGCUCCUUUCACCAUCGACGCGGUAGACGGACGAGAAGCACCGGCUAAAUACGGGCCAGCAGCCGCGGUAAAGC
rnacentral:rRNA from 1 species